CCUACGGGAGGCAGCAGUGGGGAAUAUUGGGCAAUGGGCGCAAGCCUGACCCAGCAACGCCGCGUGAAGGAAGAAGGCUUUCGGGUUGUAAACUUCUUUUGACAGGGAAGAGUAGAAGACGGUACCUGAAGAAGAAGCCCCGGCUAACUACGUGCCAGCCGCCGCGGUAAUACGUAGGGGGCCAGCGUUAUCCGGAUCUACUGGGUGUAAAGGGGGCGCAGACGGCGCUGCAAGCCAGGAUUGAAAGCCCGGGGCCCAACCCCGGGACUGCUCUUGGAACUGCGUGGCUGGAGUGUAGGAGGGGCAGGCGGAAUUCCUGGUGUAGCGGUGAGAUGCGUAGAUAUCAGGAGGAACACCGGGGGAGAAGGCGGCCUGCUGGACUGCAACUGACGAUGAUAGGCCGCUGCUGGACCAUGGCGGGCUCCGGGAUUAGAUACCCCAGUAGUC
rnacentral:rRNA from 1 species